rnacentral:tRNA from 1 species
GCGGUAGUAGCUCAGUGGUAGAGCAUCAGCUUCCCAAGCUGAGGGUCGCGGGUUCGACUCCCGUCUACCGCU